rnacentral:rRNA from 1 species
GAAGCUGGCGGCUGCCUUAACAUGCAAGUCGAACGGCAGCACGGGCUUCGGCCUGGUGGCGAGUGGCGAACGGGUGAGUAAUACAUCGGAACGUGUCCUGGAGUGGGGGAUAGCCCGGCGAAAGCCGGAUUAAUACCGCAUGCGCUCUGAGGAGGAAAGCGGGGGACCUUCGGGCCUCGCGCUCAAGGGGCGGCCGAUGGCAGAUUAGGUAGUUGGUGGGGUAAGGGCCCACCAAGCCGACGAUCUGUAGCUGGUCUGAGAGGACGACCAGCCACACUGGGACUGAGACACGGCCCAGACUCCUACGGGAGGCAGCAGUGGGGAAUUUUGGACAAUGGGGGCAACCCUGAUCCAGCAAUGCCGCGUGUGUGAAGAAGGCCUUCGGGUUGUAAAGCACUUUUGUCCGGAAAGAAAGCAUCUCCGCCAAUACCGGGGGUGGAUGACGGUACCGGAAGAAUAAGCACCGGCUAACUACGUGCCAGCAGCCGCGGUAAUACGUAGGGUGCGAGCGUUAAUCGGAAUUACUGGGCGUAAAGCGUGCGCAG